UACAGAGGGGGCAAACGUUGUUCGGAAUUACUGGGCGUAAAGGGCGCGUAGGCGGCCCGCUAAGUCGAACGUGAAAUCCCCGAGCUCAACUCGGGAACUGCGUCCGAUACUGGUGGGCUUGAAUCCGGGAGAGGGAUGCGGAAUUCCAGGUGUAGCGGUGAAAUGCGUAGAUAUCUGGAGGAACACCGGUGGCGAAGGCGGCAUCCUGGACCGGCAUUGACGCUGAGGCGCGAAAGCUAGGGGAGCAAACGGG
rnacentral:rRNA from 1 species